rnacentral:tRNA from 1 species
GGCCAGUUAGCUCAGUCAGUUGAGCGUAGCGCUAACAACGCCAAGGUCGCAGGUUUGAUUCCCGUUUGGUCC